rnacentral:rRNA from 1 species
CUACAGGCUUAACACAUGCAAGUCGAGGGGCAGCAUGGUCUUAGCUUGCUAAGGCCGAUGGCGACCGGCGCACGGGUGAGUAACACGUAUCCAACCUGCCGUCUACUCUUGGACAGCCUUCUGAAAGGAAGAUUAAUACAAGAUGGCAUCAUGAGUCCGCAUGUUCACAUGAUUAAAGGUAUUCCGGUAGACGAUGGGGAUGCGUUCCAUUAGAUAGUAGGCGGGGUAACGGCCCACCUAGUCUUCGAUGGAUAGGGGUUCUGAGAGGAAGGUCCCCCACAUUGGAACUGAGACACGGUCCAAACUCCUACGGGAGGCAGCAGUGAGGAAUAUUGGUCAAUGGGCGCAGGCCUGAACCAGCCAAGUAGCGUGAAGGAUGACUGCCCUAUGGGUUGUAAACUUCUUUUAUAAAGGAAUAAAGUCGGGUAUGGAUACCCGUUUGCAUGUACUUUAUGAAUAAGGAUCGGCUAACUCCGUGCCAGCAGCCGCGGUAAUACGGAGGAUCCGAGCGUUAUCCGGAUUUAUUGGGUUUAAAGGGAGCGUAGAUGGAUGUUUAAGUCAGUUGUGAAAGUUUGCGGCUCAACCGUAAAAUUGCAGUUGAUACUGGAUAUCUUGAGUGCAGUUGAGGCAGGCGGAAUUCGUGGUGUAGCGGUGAAAUGCUUAGAUAUCACGAAGAACUCCGAUUGCGAAGGCAGCCUGCUAAGCUGCAACUGACAUUGAGGCUCGAAAGUGUGGGUAUCAAACAGGAUUAGAUACCCUGGUAGUCCACACGGUAAACGAUGAAUACUCGCUGUUUGCGAUAUACGGCAAGCGGCCAAGCGAAAGCGUUAAGUAUUCCACCUGGGGAGUACGCCGGCAACGGUGAAACUCAAAGGAAUUGACGGGGGCCCGCACAAGCGGAGGAACAUGUGGUUUAAUUCGAUGAUACGCGAGGAACCUUACCCGGGCUUAAAUUGCAGAUGAAUUACGGUGAAAGCCGUAAGCCGCAAGGCAUCUGUGAAGGUGCUGCAUGGUUGUCGUCAGCUCGUGCCGUGAGGUGUCGGCUUAAGUGCCAUAACGAGCGCAACCCUUGUUGUCAGUUACUAACAGGUUCCGCUGAGGACUCUGACAAGACUGCCAUCGUAAGAUGUGAGGAAGGUGGGGAUGACGUCAAAUCAGCACGGCCCUUACGUCCGGGGCUACACACGUGUUACAAUGGGGGGUACAGAGGACCGCUACCACGCGAGUGGAUGCCAAUCCCAAAAACCUCUCUCAGUUCGGACUGGAGUCUGCAACCCGACUCCACGAAGCUGGAUUCGCUAGUAAUCGCGCAUCAGCCACGGCGCGGUGAAUACGUUCCCGGGCCUUGUACACACCGCCCGUCAAGCCAUGGGAGCCGGGGGUACCUGAAGUGCGUAACCGCGAGGAGCGCCCUAGGGUAAAACUGGUGACUGGGGCU